UACGGGGGGAGCAAGCGUUGUUCGGAUUUACUGGGCGUAAAGAGCGUGUAGGCGGCCACGCAGGUCCGUUGUGAAAACUGGAGGCUCAACCUCCAGCUGUCGACGGAAACCGUAUGGCUAGAGUCCGGAAGAGGAGAGUGGAAUUCCUGGUGUAGCGGUGAAAUGCGCAGAUAUCAGGAAGAACACCAAUGGCGAAGGCAGCUCUCUGGGACGGUACUGACGCUGAGACGCGAAAGCGUGGGGAGCGAACAGG
rnacentral:rRNA from 1 species